rnacentral:sRNA from 1 species
AUUCAGAAUGUGGAUAAAGCCAUCCACGCAUGUCUUUACAUUAAAAAAAAAAUCAAAAAAAAA